rnacentral:rRNA from 2 species
UACAGAGGUCUCAAGCGUUGUUCGGAUUCAUUGGGCGUAAAGGGUGCGUAGGUGGUGAUGCAAGUCUGGUGUGAAAUCUCGGAGCUUAACUCCGAAAUUGCACCGGAUACUGCGUUGCUCGAGGACUGUAGAGGAGAUCGGAAUUCACGGUGUAGCAGUGAAAUGCGUAGAUAUCGUGAGGAAGACCAGUUGCGAAGGCGGAUCUCUGGGCAGUUCCUGACACUGAGGCACGAAGGCCAGGGGAGCAAACGGG